CUGCUACACCGAGGCUCCCGCUGAUUACUCCACCAAAACGGUCGAAUACUACACCGAAGCGGUAAAGUACUACUCUGCCCCGAUCUACACAACCACAACUGAGGCGGCCAAGUAUUACGCAGUCCCGACUUACUACACAGAAGCUGCUCUUUCGUACUACGUUGAACAGAAAUACUACACUGAUCCUCCAGCUCACUACACCACUACCUAGUACCUACGCUACACCGCAGCCCCCAAGUACUACACCUAAGAAGCCGCCUGUUACCCAACAACGUAUGCUGCCUUAGUUACUACACCGAGGCUCCUAAGUACUACAUCACUAAGGCACCGGAAUUCUAAACGUCUAUGUAUGCUGCCCCUGCCUACUACACCGAGGCCCCGCAUUACAACAACAGUGAAGUGCUCAAGUACUGCACUACAACCUAGGCUGCCCCGAGCUACUACACCUACGUCCCGAAGUAUUACUGUGCGUAAGAGGAGUCGUCAAAAAAAAAAGAAGUCGUGCCCGAACUGCAGUGCCCUAUCUGUCACCAACCGAUUCCUCAUCGUAUAACCGAUUCGCAUUUAUGGUUAAUAAGGCGUCGUAUGUGGUUGGGUGUUGUAUCGUUGAUGGCUGGGUCGACCGCUGGUGUAACGAUGUCUCCUUGGUAUGGCGGAAACCAAACCGCAACGCCGCCGCCUUACUACACAACAACAACUUACCCAACGACCAGUUCCUGCACCGAGGUCUUCAAGUACUACACCACUAAAGCACCGGAGUUUUAUGCUAUAACUUACGCUGCCCCGAGCCACUACACUGACGCCCUGAAGUAUUACUCUGCCCUGAGUUACUACACCAUCUAGGCGAUGGAGUACUACAUGACUACGUAUGCUGCUCAUCCUAUUACACCGAGACUUCUAACUGCUACACCGAGGCUCCCGCUGAUUACUCCACCAAAACGGUCGAGUACUACACCGAAGCGGCAAAAUACUUCUCAGCCCCGAUCUACACAACCACAACUGAGGCGGCCAAGUAUCACGCAGUCCCGACUUGCUACACAAAAGCUGCCCUUUCGUGCUACGUUGAACAGAAAUACUACACUGAUGCUCCAGUCUACUACACCAUGACCUACGCCACACCUAGCUACAACACGGCAGCCCCCAAGUACUACACCGAAGGCGCCGCCUAUUACACGACUACGUACGCUGCCUAGUUUACAACAUCGAGGAAUUUAAGUAUUACCCUGCUCCAAACUACUACCAAACUGAGGUUCAUGUGUAUUAUACAUCAGCAAUUCUCCCGACUAUGUCACCACUACUUACGCUGCUCCGACCUAUACACCGAAGUUCUGAAGUAUUUCUCUUGUGUUGAAAGAUUGCUGAAAUACAAGGUUGAUUGAUAAAUCACAAGUGCAUGUCUCUAUUUUCUCCUUAAGUACCUUAACUCCUGCUGAUAAUUGCAUGAUAUGAGAAAAUAUUUCUGAGUGCUAUGUACAAAUAAUUGAUCUUGCAAAAUACAAAAAUAAAAA